GGAGGAUUAAAGGACUCCAAUCAGUUCUUGAAUCCAUGGGAGGACGAGCUCCACAAUUUUGUUCAAAUGAACUAUGGAACCAGUGCUCCUUCUGACAUCCUUAAUGGCCAUAACCAUCCGGUAAUACAGAAGUAGAACUUUGAUCCUUCUCCUAAGGAUCAUUGGCUCCAUGCGAGGCAAUUCAUUAUAACCCCAUUUGCUUGCCAGACGUAUGCCAGCAUUCUUGAAGGUAACCAAGGGAAUGUGAACCACUCUUUCGAAGGUUAAAGUAUAAACAUAUGCCAUCACCAUUUACCUACCGUGCUCAAGCUUUCUUAACUGCAUGGUCUCUCAAAGGUUAUAAAACAUAUGCUUUCACU